rnacentral:rRNA from 1 species
GACGAACGCUGGCGGCGUGCUUAACACAUGCAAGUCGAACGAUGAAGCCCAGCUUGCUGGGUGGAUUAGUGGCGAACGGGUGAGUAACACGUGGGCAACCCGCCCCAAACUCUGGGAUAACUCCUCGAAAGAGGUGCUAAUACCGGAUACGAACUAGACAGACAUCUGUACUAGUUGGAAAGUUUUUCGGUUUGGGAUGGGCCCGCGGCCUAUCAGCUUGUUGGUGAGGUAACGGCUCACCAAGGCUACGACGGGUAACCGGCCUGAGAGGGGGACUGGUCACACUGGGACUGAGACACGGCCCAGACUCCUACGGGAGGCAGCAGUGGGGAAUAUUGCGCAAUGGGCGAAAGCCUGACGCAGCGACGCCGCGUGAGGGAUGAAGGUCUUCGGAUCGUAAACCUCUUUCAGUAGGGACGAAGCGAAAGUGACGGUACCUAAAGAAGAAGCACCGGCUAACUACGUGCCAGCCGCCGCCGUAA